CGAGUCAUUAUAAAAUUAACAUCGUCCGAUCCCUAGUCGGCAUAGUUUAUGGUUAAGACUACGACGGUAUCUGAUCGUCUUCGAUCCCCUAACUUUCGUUCUUGAUUAAUGAAAACAUCCUUGGCAAAUGCUUUCGCAGAAGUUAGUCUUCAAUAAAUCCAAGAAUUUCACCUCUGACAAUUGAAUACUAAUGCCCCCAACUAUCCCUAUUAAUCAUUACGGUGAUCCUAGAAACCAACAAAAUAGAACCAUGCCGUCCUAUUUUAUUAUUCCAUGCUAAUGUAUUCAGGCGCUAGCCUGCUUUGAGCACUCUAAUUUUUUCAAGGUAAUAGUCCUGCUUCCCCAACACACCAAAUUAAUGGCAUGAUGGUUAUUCAGAAGGUAAGAACCCAUCACAUCAGUACGGACARUUAAGCCCGACCAACGGACAGAUUCCGAAAUUCAACUACGAGCUUUUUAACUGCAACAACUUUAAUAUACGCUAUUGGAGCUGGAAUUACCGCGGCUGCUGGCACCAGACUUGCCCUCCAAA
rnacentral:rRNA from 1 species